AAAGUUUUAGUAUAAAAAUUUAAUAUAGCUUAUUGUCAAUAAGCAGAUUAAAACUUUAU
rnacentral:tRNA from 1 species